AGCCGCGGUAAUACGUAGGGUGCAAGCGUUGUCCGGAAUUACUGGGCGUAAAGAGCUCGUAGGUGGUUUGUCGCGUUGUUCGUGAAAACUCACAGCUUAACUGUGGGCGUGCGGGCGAUACGGGCAGACUAGAGUACUGCAGGGGAGACUGGAAUUCCUGGUGUAGCGGUGGAAUGCGCAGAUAUCAGGAGGAACACCGGUGGCGAAGGCGGGUCUCUGGGCAGUAACUGACGCUGAGGAGCGAAAGCGUGGGGAGCGAACAGGAUUAGAUACCCUGGUAGUCCACGCCGUAAACGGUGGGUACUAGGUGUGGGUUUCCUUCCUUGGGAUCCGUGCCGUAGCUAACGCAUUAAGUACCCCGCCUGGGGAGUACGGCCGCAAGGCUAAAACUCAAAGAAAUUGACGGGGGCCCGCACAAGCGGCGGAGCAUGUGGAUUAAUUCGAUGCAACGCGAAGAACCUUACCUGGGUUUGACAUGCACAGGACGUGCCUAGAGAUAGGUAUUCCCUUGUGGCCUGUGUGCAGGUGGUGCAUGGCC
rnacentral:rRNA from 1 species